CAAUGGGCAACACCCUUCUCCACCAGUGAACAAACAAACAGCUGCCUCCCCAGCACAGCACCGUCGUCCUGAGCACUCGGGGCACCAGGGGAGCCAGCACAGGUGACUAAUGUUUCACUGCUUUCCUGCAAUCACCCUGGGUCAGGUGCCCAAAUUAUGGAAUGAAGGCAGCAUCUCACACCUCACUGAGUGACACGGAAGAUGCUCCAGUGGCCAGGCAGAGGUCUGCCCAUCCUCGCUGGGUGGACAAAGCACCAGAGCUGGAGGAGGGACGUGGUUUGGUCUGCACCAGGCCAAAGACUCCCUCCUGAGGCCUAGAGGAUUCUUAGGUCCGCACGUGUUCAUGUUAGUAGACCGAGCACAGAUUCAGAGUCAGACAGAUGUCAGGCUGAAUCCUGACACUGUGCCACUUCUAGCUGUGUGCCUUCAGGCAAAUUAAUAAACUACUCUGACCUUCAA